rnacentral:misc_RNA from 1 species
GACCAGAUCUUCAAGCGUAUCAUCAAUGAACCGUUACCACGCAGUCAUAUGGCAGGCCACCCAGAAGUAUAUUGCAUCAUUAACCAAUUGCUCAUUUAAAAACCGAGACAAUGAAUGUUACAGUUAAUUGGGUAAGCACCUCCUGAUAAUACUGCCUACAUUAUUGCCAAUCUCUUCCUUUGUUUGCUCUGACACGGGGAUAUCUCCAAUAUACAUGUCAAAGAAAGCCCUACAUAAUUCCUUGCUAUGGACUGCUCCAAUCUUCUGACCUCCAAUUUCAGUUAUUAGUUGCCCAUCAGCUGUCCGACGAAAAUCAACAGUUGUUCCCGAAGGUAGUGGAAUAUCUUUUGUGAAGAAUGAACCAAAUGCUCUCACACAACUGUAAUCAGUGUCAGGGUUUGUCUUCAGUAAACGGGCUCGAAGUGAUUUCUCGAAAGCAUUUUUCACUGUAUUGAUAUUCAUCCCACUGCAGUUAAUGACAAGCCGAACAGUCAUGCCAAUAUCCUCCCUCAGAAGAUCCUCAUAGAAGCUGCGGCAUUUAUGUAAUUCAUCAGAAGGAACAAAAGCAUACUUUGGACCCAAUUUCUCACAGACAGAGUUAGGAUGGACAUAAAAACCAAAUGCAUAAAUCUUCAGUGACUUUAUUUUGAUUACUUUCAUAGUUCUGGAUCCAGUUCCAACCAGUACCUCUGAAGCUAAACUAGAUUUUUGCUUUUCAGCUAAAAUGUUGUCCAAAAUCACAGGAAACUCAAUGCCAGUUCUAGGCUCAACAGCAUGACUUGUCCAAUUUAAGUCAUUAAAUGAGAAGCCUAAACAUCCAUGUGGCCCAACUUCACAGGGCCUUCUAUGGAUCCAUGCGCUUGUACAUCACCAUUCUCCAAUGGAACAGCGAACACCUUUGAAGCUAAGUUUUCAAAUGGUGGAACCAAAGCAGCAGCUAAUGAGAGCACUGGGAAUGAUU